rnacentral:rRNA from 1 species
UACGUAGGGGGCAAGCGUUGUCCGGAUUUAUUGGGCGUAAAGAGCGUGUAGGCGGCCAGGUAGGUCUGCCGUGAAAACUCGAGGCUCAACCUCGAGACGUCGGCGGAAACCAUCUGGCUAGAGUCCGGAAGAGGAGAGUGGAAUUCCUGGUGUAGCGGUGAAAUGCGCAGAUAUCAGGAAGAACACCCGUGGCGAAGGCGACUGACUGGACAUGUAUUGACGCUGAGGUGCGAAAGCGUGGGGAGCAAACAGG